rnacentral:rRNA from 1 species
AGUGAACGCUGGCGGUAGGCCUAACACAUGCAAGUCGAACGGCAGCACAGUAAGAGCUUGCUCUUACGGGUGGCGAGUGGCGGACGGGUGAGGAAUACAUCGGAAUCUACUUUUUCGUGGGGGAUAACGUAGGGAAACUUACGCUAAUACCGCAUACGACCUACGGGUGAAAGCAGGGGAUCUUCGGACCUUGCGCGAUUGAAUGAGCCGAUGUCGGAUUAGCUAGUUGGCGGGGUAAAGGCCCACCAAGGCGACGAUCCGUAGCUGGUCUGAGAGGAUGAUCAGCCACACUGGAACUGAGACACGGUCCAGACUCCUACGGGUGGCAGCAGUGGGGAAUAUUGGACAAUGGGCGCAAGCCUGAUCCAGCCAUACCGCGUGGGUGAAGAAGGCCUUCGGGUUGUAAAGCCCUUUUGUUGGGAAAGAAAAGCAGCAGGUUAAUACCCCGCUGUUCUGACGGUACCCAAAGAAUAAGCACCGGCUAACUUCGU